GGAAACUCAACAAUCCAAUCCCACGACAAUGUCCAUGUCCAGGAUCCUGGGUCCCAUCCAGUGUCGCUACUAAACCUGUAAUCAAUUAGAGAAUAGUAGCCAUUUGGAAAGGCGUUUCUGGAACAGAUGGUUGAAGAGUUAUGCGUGGUAUGAAGCAUUUAUAUCGACUGGCUAAAACUGAGCUCUCAUUGUCUCCGUUCAAUAAUCAUUUUUUCAUGAUUUAUAUUAAUGUUUGAAAUGUAAUAUGAAAUGUGAGAACACAGUUGAAGUUAAUUUAUACAAAAUUAAUAUAUCUAUAAAUUUGAAAAUACUGGGGUAAUAAGUACCUGACAUUUUGCUGGAGUGAAAACAUAAUCUUCUUUUAAAACUACCUUUUCUUCGUUGGUAAAAUACAAGAGCAAAAGCUGCAAAGCAGAAGGUUGAUAAUGAUGAGUACAAUUUUUAAUUAGUAAUAAAAACUAUCGAUUGCCAAAGUAUUACAUACCUGAGACAGUACAUCAGGUAAUAAUUUGCCCAUGGAGUCAUUCCUCCAUUUACAUCAUCAGAUGAAAAACAUAAGAAGAGCCCUUGUAUCCCAAUACCCAAAAAAUAACCAGCAGUACAAAAUACAUUUACAAAUGCUCAAACUGAAAAUAUGAGAUCAUCACCUUCAGUCCCUUCAGUCCUUAGAAACAGCUCCCCAACAAUGAAUUGUACUUGUUAAUCAUAAAGAACUCUGAUUUCAGUACGAUGCUUUCCAUGGCUGUAAAUCCCUCUAAAUAUAAAUACGGGUCCAUAGUUGAAUUUCUAAAUUAGUGGCUUUUUAUGCUACACAAGAGGGCUUCUUACUAUGUACAAAGUGUAGGUGACAAAAUGGAAGUUAAGUAACAGAUUCACAAUGUUUUCAGUCACAUAGAUUGAGUUAUUUUUUUAAGACAACAUAUAGAUUGAAAUAAAUGUAUGUCCAUUGUCCUUCAAACCCUAGCAUGAUGAGCAACAAAGUAAGAGAUGAUGCAUGUAUUAUGAUACCUAAAAAUUCCUUAUAACUAAAUG
rnacentral:lncRNA from 1 species